rnacentral:rRNA from 1 species
CGAGGGGGGCAAGCGUUGUUCGGAAUUACUGGGCGUAAAGGGCUCGUAGGCGGCCAACUAAGUCCGACGUGAAAUCCCCAAGCUUAACUUGGGAACUGCGUCGGAUACUGGAUGGCUUGAAUCCGGGAGAGGGAUGCGGAAUUCCAGGUGUAGCGGUGAAAUGCGUAGAUAUCUGGAGGAACACCGGUGGCGAAGGCGGCAUCCUGGACCGGCAUUGACGCUGAGGAGCGAAAGCUAGGGGAGCAAACGGGAUUAGAUACCCCGGUAGUCCUAGCCCUAAACGAUGAAUGUUUGGUGUGGCGGGUAUCGAUCCCUGCCGUGCCGAAGCUAACGCAUUAAACAUUCCGCCUGGGGGAGUACGGUCGCAAGGCUG